UGAGGAAUAUUGGUCAAUGGACGGAAGUCUGAACCAGCCAAGUAGCGUGCAGGAUGACGGCCCUAUGGGUUGUAAACUGCUUUUAUACGGGGAUAAAGUUAGGGACGUGUCCCUAUUUGCAGGUACCGUAUGAAUAAGGACCGGCUAAUUCCGUGCCAGCAGCCGCGGUAAUACGUAGGUGGCGAGCGUUAUCCGGAUUUACUGGGUGUAAAGGGCGUGCAGGCGGGCUGAUAAGUCAGAUGUGAAAUCCCCGAGCUUAACUCGGGAACUGCAUCUGAUACUGUUGGUCUUGAGUGCUGGAGAGGAUAGUGGAAUUCCUAGUGUAGCGGUAAAAUGCGCAGAUAUUAGGAGGAAAACCAGUGGCGAAGGCGGCUAUCUGGACAGUAACUGACGCUGAGGCGCGAAAGCGUGGGUAGCAAACAGG
rnacentral:rRNA from 1 species